rnacentral:rRNA from 1 species
UACGAAGGGGGCUAGCGUUGUCCGGAAUCACUGGGCGUAAAGGGCGCGUAGGUGGCGUCGCAAGUCGAUGGUGAAAGCUCGUCGCUCAACGGCGAGUCGGCCAUUGAUACUGCGAGGCUGGAGCACUGUAGAGGCAGAUGGAAUUCCGGGUGUAGCAGUGAAAUGCGUAGAUAUCGAGAGGAACACCAGUGGCGAAGGCGAGUCUCUAGACAACUCCUGACACUGAGGCACGAAAGCUAGGGGAGCAAACAGG